rnacentral:rRNA from 1 species
UGGGGAAUAUUGCCCAAUGGGCGCAAGCCUGAUGCAGCCAUGCCGCGUGUAUGAAGAAGGCCUUCGGGUUGUAAAGUACUUUCAGCGGGGAGGAAGGCGAUAAGGUUAAUAACCUUGUCGAUUGACGUUACCCGCAGAAGAAGCACCGGCUAACUCCGUGCCAGCAGCCGCGGUAAUACGGAGGGUGCAAGCGUUAAUCGGAAUGACUGGGCGUAAAGCGCACGCAGGCGGUCUGUCAAGUCGGAUGUGAAAUCCCCGGGCUCAACCUGGGAACUGCAUUCGAAACUGGCAGGCUAGAGUCUUGUAGAGGGGGGUAGAAUUCCAGG